CCGGCCCACUGAUAAUGAGCAUCUCGUUUGCAGCUCGGAGAGAAAAUGAUGUCUCAGCACCUGGCAGGGAUGCUGAAGGUCAAAAUAGUGGUUCACAGAGAAGCGUGUGGUUUUGGAUGGGUUAUACUCCACAAUCAAAACCAUUUAUUAUGUUUCGUCAGCAGCAAAACAAGAUGACAGAAGACUGAGAGGAAAAUCAGUGGAAUCAUAGACAGUCCCAGGAUAGACUCCAACAUCUCUCUUGCUCUCUCUCUCUUUCUAUUGUGUUGAAGCCCAGCAGGCCCGGGCGGAUUACACAAAGACCAGAACUAACACCAGAACCUGUGACACUGGCUUCUGUAAGUGGUGCACCGUCAGCAUUAUGGACACAAAUGUAUUCCAUCUUAGACUGACAUUAGCAUUCCCACUGUGUGUCUGGAAUGGGAGAUUAAUCCCCAGGUAAUCUGCCAGAGAAAUGGAUAAAACAGUUUUCACAGGGAGAUGUAGAGAGGCGCCAGCUCUAUUGUUGCGCCUGGUGUCUAAUAUUUGGAGGUUUUAAUGCAGUGGGGAUUUUGCAUGGCAUGGGACUUUUACAAAGGCUGCAGGAAGCCAAGAGCUGAUUCUGCUGUAACAACAGACCCCACACUUUAUGUCAAGUCCAUUGUGUGUCACUGCAGAGUUCUUUACACAGCUAUAGGUAAAAAAUGCAACUGGACAUUCAUAUAGGGUGACUAGACAUCCCAAUAGAGUGCAUUUGUGCCUGCUCUUUUUUUUUUCAGUUGUGUUGGUUCUGGGAGUAUUUUUAUUUCUAUUCAUUUUUUUCCCCAAAAAUAUAAUCUGACACAACUGUACUUAAUAGCUUUAGUGAAGAAAAGAAGUAGAAUCCUAUGAAGCAUUGUGAAUGACAAUCAAAUGAAAAUAAGCAAAUAUCAUCUAUUAACAACCUCAGAGCUCACAACAGGUCUGUCUUUAAAAGUUUAUAAUUACUGUUAAAAA
ensembl:lncRNA